CAGAGAGAAAAUCCUCAUCCAAACAUAAAAAAAAAGGAAGAGAGAAAAGGGAAAAGCGACGAGCUACGCCAGAGAUAAGAAAAAAAUGAACUACAUCUAAGACACAAGAGACCUCAUCUCAACAAGGAAGAAAACUCUUGUCAAAAAUCCUCAGUCUCUAAGGGGGAACCCAACACUAGCAGGGGAAAAUAGACUUCCUCAAAGUAGCAAGAAGUUCAGACCCCAAGCUCGAA
rnacentral:lncRNA from 1 species